rnacentral:rRNA from 1 species
AUUGAACGCUGGCGGCAUGCCUUACACAUGCAAGUCGAACGGCAGCACGGGGCAACCUGGUGGCGAGUGGCGAACGGGUGAGUAAUGCAUCGGAACGUACCCGGAAGUGGGGGAUAACGUAGCGAAAGUUACGCUAAUACCGCAUAUUCUGUGCGCAGGAAAGAGGGGGAUCUUCGGACCUCUUGCUUUCGGAGCGGCCGAUGUCAGAUUAGCUAGUUGGUGAGGUAAAGGCUCACCAAGGCGACGAUCUGUAGCGGGUCUGAGAGGAUGAUCCGCCACACUGGGACUGGGACACGGCCCAGAGUCCUACGGGAGGCAGCAGUGGGGAAUUUUGGACAAUGGGCGCAAGCCUGAUCCAGCCAUGCCGCGUGAGUGAAGAAGGCCUUCGGGUUGUAAAGCUCUUUCGGCCGGGAAGAAAUCGCGUGAGUUAAUACCUUGCGUGGAUGACGGUACCGGAAUAAGAAGCACCGGCUAACUACGUGCCAGCCGCCGCCGUAACAC